AUACUUAUCUGGCAGGGGAAACACCCUGAUCACUAAGGUGGUUUUCCCAGGAUGAGGCUCAUGCAUUGCACUCUGGGUGUGCCAGCCUCUGCGGUUUGCAGUUUGGGGAAACCCAACUGCAUAAUUUGUGGUAGUGGGGGACUGCACUUGCACUCUCCCC
rnacentral:snRNA from 1 species